CUUGCUGGGGCUCCUGCUUUUCUCUUUCUUGCUCCGGCUCCGACUCUGGCUCCGGCUCCGGCUCUUGCUCCGGGAGCGGGAGCCCGACCUGAGGAGACAUGGGAUACUGUUUGUGUCACAUGUGACUUCAUGCUAAUCAGGAGAUAAAAAGACCAAAGGGCAUACAUGUGGAGUUACACCCCCCAAUAUAAAGCAUGGCUGGCACUGGCUGAGGAUUGUUUUCUGAACCCUCACAAUGCCAAUCAGAAGCUGGAAAAACUGGCCAGGUGCGGCGGCUCAUGCCCAUAAUCCCAGCACUUUGAGAGGCCAAGGCAGGCGGAUCGCGAGGUCAGGAGUUCAAGAGCCAGCCUGGCCAACAUGGUGAAGCCCCGUCUCUACUAAAAAUACCAAAAAUUAGCCAGGCAUGCUGGCACACGCCUGUAAACCGAGCUACUCAGGAGGCUGAGGCAGGAGAAUCGCUUGAACCCGUGAGGCAGAGGUUGCAGUGAGCCGAGAUCGCGCCACUGCACUCCAGAUUGGGCGACAGAGCGAGACUCUGUCUUGAGGGGGGAAAAAAAAAAAAAAAAAGAAAAAGAAGCUGGAAAAGCAGGAAGACUGGUCACAUGAUUGAAAUCCAAGUGAGGCUGGGCACAGUGGCUCAUGUCUGUAAUCGCAGUAGUCUGGGAGGACUAUUUGAGGUCAUGAGUUUAAGAUUAGCCUGGGCAACAUAGUGAGACCCUGUCUCUAAAAAAAAUUAAAAAAUUAGCUGGGUGUGGUAGUAUGUGCCUGUAGUCCCAGCUACUUGGGAGGCUGAGGUGGAAGCUUGCUUGAGCCCAGUGAGGUGAGGCUGCAGUGAGCCAUGACUGUACCACUGGACUCCAGCUUGGGUGACAGAGUGUCUCUUUGAAAAAAAAAAGAAAAAAAAGUGAGACAGGGUACAGGCAUUCCCUGCUGACCACCUCUACUUAUAACAUGGAAGACAUACCUGGACCGAGAUCUACUCUUAGAAUGACUGCUUUUGCUGCUGCCACUUCGGCUUCUGCUCUUACGGGAAUGUCUGCUUCGAGAGCGAGACCUAGGGGGAGAAAAUAUUUUUUAAUACUUGCUGACAAGAGGCUGCUGAUGAGCAUCAAUCAAGACUAUAUAUAUUAUAUAUAUAUAUUUUAGAUGGAGUUUCACUCUUGUUGCCCAGGCUGGAGUGCAAUGGCGCGAUCUCGGCUCACCACAACCUCCACCUCCUGAGUUCAAGCGAUUCUCCUGCCUCAGCCUCCCAAGUAUCUGGGAUUACAGGCAUGUGCUACCACGCCUGGCUAAUUUUGUAUUUUUAGUAGAGACGGGGUUUCUCCAUGUUGGUCAGGCUGGUUUCGAACUCCUGACCUCAGGUGAUCCACCUGCCUCGACUUCCCAAAAUGCCAGGAUUACAGGCAUGAGCCACCGUACCCGGCCAAGAUUUUCAAUAUGUACAGCACUGGCUGUGUCCAGGCACAAACUCUCUCUUGGGUUCUAGGUCCACAGAUGAAGUCACCUGCAAACCUUCCAUCUGGAUGGUUCACCUGAACCUCUUAGCAGCUCCUGAAAUUCUAACUGUCCCCGAUGCCGGCUCCUUUUGCUGGGCUCCUUAUGUGCACUGAUGCCACUGUUAUUCAUAUGGUUCCUCGUAACAGAAAUCACAGCCAUCCUUGACUCCCCCGUCUUUCCCCUAUCCCCUUACACACCCACGAUCAUGCCUCCUGAUCUUCGGUCUUUCUACCUCUGCUGCUGCCUCUCUGGGCAAGCCACCAUUAUCUCUCCCCUUGUUCAACAACCAGCCUUUCUGUGUAUACUUUUCCCCUUUACGAUCUAUUCAACUCACUGUGACGAGAGCUGUUUUAAAGAGACCGACAAUCCAAGCUUUACAAAAUUUUUUUAAUGCAUCCAGACUGUAGAUUCUUAUUUUCUACCAACCAGGACUCCUUGGGAAAAUGACUGACUCCAGGCGUAAAGCAGGAAGUAGUACACAAAGAUGGGCCUAGACCAUCUCAUUAUGACAGAAAGAGGGAAACUUUCAAAGCUGCCCAGGCACCAUCACCUAUGAAGUAUUCUUGCUAAAAAUGUUUAACCUGCAUCUCAAUCACACCUCUCCAGACCUAACUUCCAGUAUAUAGGAAGUUCAGGGGAUAAGAUACAAGUUCAAUGAUACUAAGAAGAAACAGAUAAAUACAGAAUGUGAGUAUUAAAAAACUAAGAAAAAUAAGCCAGGAGUGGUGGCUCACGCCUGUAAUCCUAGCUACUUGGGAGGCUGAGGCAGUAGGAUAGCUUGAACCUGGGACGCAGAGGCUGCAAUGAGCUGAGAUGGUGCCACUGCACUCCAGCCUGGGCGACAGAGCAAGAGUCCGUCUCAAACAAACAAAAAAACCCAAACCUAAGCAAAAUAAAUGUCAUGAAGGAACUGCUCCACACUAAAAGCCUGACUACAUUAGGUUUUACCUAAAAACCCCUUGUACUACAUGACUGGAUUAGAUCCCGGUUAAGAAAAAACCCAGCUAUAAAGACAUCCAUGGAGUAACUGGGGAAACAUGAAUAUGGCCUGGGCAUUUAGUAAUUAGAUGGAAUUACUAUUAAUGUUCUUAGGUGAAAAAACAGAACUGUGGUUAUCCUCAUUCUUGGAGACACAUGCUGAAGUAUUUAGGGGCAAAGUAUCAUAAUUUCUACAACUUACUUUCAAAUGCUACAACAAAAUAAAUGUACAGUGUGCUUGUAUAAAUACAUACAUACAAAGAGAGAAAAGGCAAAAUGCUAUCUGUUAAAGCCAGAGGAGGGUAUACAGGUGUUCAUUAACUAUUCUUUCAACUUUUGUUUGAAGAAACCAAUUGCAAAAAUACCUAUUUGAGACAACUAGGGCAGGGUGCAGUGGCUCACGUCUGUAAUCUCAGCACUUUGGGAGGCUGAGGUGGGAGGACCGCUUGAACCCAGGAGUUCAAGACCAGCCUGGGUAACAUAGCAAGACUCCAUUUCUACAACAAACAAACAACUGAAAAAUUGGAAUACAACCUAGAUAUUACAUCAUAGUAUGGAAUUAUUGCUAAUUUUGCUAGCUAUGUUAUCAUGGUUUCUUUUAAAAUACUACAGAUACAUACUGAAGCAGUUGCAGAUGGAAUGAUAGAUGUCUAGACUUGCCUUACAACAAUGCAGCAGGAGCGGGUGAUGUGAAACAAGACUGGCAAAAUAAAAACUACAGAAGCUGGAGGAGUGGGAGGUGCAAUUCAGAGUUCUCCAAUGCUUCAUAUAUAAAUUUCAAAUUUUCCAUAAUAAAAAGUCAAAAGACCUAAAUAACAAAACCUGAAAAGUCUCCAGUGACUUCUCACUACUCUUCCAUUCUUGCUCUGGCCUAAUGGUCAGUAUAUCUGGUCCUUCUCUGCCUUAUCUCAAGCCACUCUCCUCCCGUUACCUCUCUAUAUUAGCUUCUCUACUCUGGAAAACUUUCUCCUGCCCCCAGGCCUUCAGAAACACCCUUUUCUGUUAGAUAGAUAGGCAUUUUCUCGACGGGCACGGUGGCUCAAGACUGUAAUCCAAGCACUUUGGAAGGCCGAGGUGGGUGGGUCACCUGAGGUCAGGAGUUCGAGACCAGUCUGCCCAACAUGGUGAAACUCUGUCUCUACUAAAAUUACAAAAAUUAGCCAGGCAUGGUGGUGUGCACCUGUGAUCCCAGCUACUCAGGAGGCUGAGGCAGGAGAAUCGCUUGAACCCGGGAGGUGGAAGUUGCAGUAAGCCGAGAUUGUGCCACUACACUCCAGCCUGGGUGACAGAGUGAAAGAAACUCCGUCUCAAAAAAAAAAAAAGAAAGAAAGAAAGGCAUUUUCUUCUGCUCACCAUCUCUCUGCCUUAUUCAUUAGGGCUCAGUUCUACAGCAUGUCCUUAGGGAAGCUGUUGCCAGCUCUCUAGACUAGUUGUGCUGUGUGCAUUUUCUUGUCACAAUAGCACGGUUUAUUCAAUACUCAUCUUCUACGCUAGACUGAGUUUCAGGGGGGCAAGGACCAUAUUUGUCUUUUUUUUGAGACAGAGUCUCUUUCUGUCGCCCAGGCUGGAGUAUAGUGGAGUGAUCUCUGCUCACUGCAACCCCUGCCUCCUGGGUUCCGGUUUAAGCGAUUCUCCUGCCUCAGCCUCCCUAGUAGCUGGGACCACAGGCGUGUGCCAUCAUGCCUGGCUAAUUUUUUUUUACUUUUGUAUUUUUAGUAGAGAUGGGGUUUCAUCACGUUGGCCAGGCUGGUCUUGAACUCCUGACCUCAGGUGAUCCACUCGCCUCAGCCUCCCAAAGUGCUGGGAUUACAGGUGUAAGCCACCGCGUCUGGCCAUUUGUCUUCUUUACAAAGCCUUUCCAAUGCUUAGCCCAGUGCCUGGCCUGUUCAGGUGCUAAGUAAGACAAAAUUGCCAUGUGUGCCAUCAACCAAGGUAGUAGGAUCUAGGGGUCCCAAGAAGAAAUGUGAAAGGUGGCCUCUGAUUUCCAUUUUUUUUUUUUUUUUUGAGACGGUGUUUUGCUCUUGUUGCCCAGGCUAGAGUGCAACGGUGCGCUUGGCUCACCACAACCUCCGCCUCCCAGGUUCAAGCAAUUCUCCUGCCUCAGCCUCCCGAGUAGCUGGGAUUACAGGCAUGCACCACCAACGCCUAGCUAAUUUUUUUGUAUUUUUUCAGUAGAGACGGGGUUUCUCCAUAUUGAGGCUGGUCUCGAACUCCUGACCUCAGGUGAUCUGCCCGCCUUGGCCUCCCAAAGUGCUGGGAUUACAGGCGUGAGCCACUGUGCCCGGCCUCUGAUUUCCCUUUUUGAGAUGGAGUCUCCCUGUCGCCCAGGCUGGAGUGGAAUAGUGCGAUCUCGGCUCACUGCAACCUCUGCCUCCUGGGUUCAAGCGAUUCCCAUGCCUCAGCCUCCUGGGUAGCUGGGACUACAGGUACGUGCGCCACCACACCAUUUUUUUUUUUGAGAUGGAGUUUCGCUCUUGUUGCCCAGGCUGGAGUGCAAUGGCACAAUCUCGGCUCACUGCAACCUCUGCCCCUACUGGGUUCAAGCAAUUUUCAAGCAAUUUUUCUGCCUCCGCCUCCCGAGUCACUGGGAUUAUAGGCACCCACCACGCCCAACUAAAUUUUGUUAUUUUUAGUAGAGACAAGAUUUCGCCAUGUUGGCCAGGCUGGUCUCGACUCCUGACAUCAGGUGAUCCACCCACCUCGGCCUCCCAAAGUGCUGGGAUUACAGACAUGCGCCACAGCGCCCAGCAUUUUUGUAUUUUUAGUACAGAUGGGGUUUCACCAUAUUGGUCAGGCUGGUCUUGAACUCCUGACCUUGUGAUGCGCCCACCUUGGCCUCCCAAAGUGCUGGGAUUACAGGCGUGAGCAAGGCCUCUGAUUUCUAAGAGAAGGGACUUCUAUUUGUACUCAUGACCUAAGAGUUCAAGAGUUUUACAAAUAAAUGUUCAGUUCAAAAUUCUAAGUUAUUGAACCAGAUGGAAUCAUGUUAUUAAGAACUCAACAGGAAAAUGUAAAUAAAUUAUCUAUGUGCUCACUAAUGAAUUUAUGAUGAGCUCCAACACACAAAAGACAUCAACAGUACCUUGAAUGACUCCGGCUUCUGGAGUAGGACCGGCGUCGUCUGGAACCUGGCUUGUCUUCAACUAAUCUGAUUUUUCUCCCAUUGACUUCAGUUCCAUCCAACUUUUCCAAAGCUCUUUUCAUAUCAGAAUAAGAUACAAAUUCAAUCACCCCUUCAUUUUUGCGUCCCUUGUGAGCAUCUGCAUAAGUCACUUCUCCUGCCUGACGCAUAUAAUCCUGAAGAAAAAAAAAAGUGUGACUACAUUAGGAUAUGUUUUGCUAAAAUAUCUAAUGCAAUCAUCUGAGUGAAUUUUUCCUUUAAGAAAUGCCAGCAUUCCGCAGAAUAAAGUUUACUCUUAAAUAUUUUCAUCUACCCAUCAAUCAUGUACUGAGGUUCUUUAAAGCACCAGCCAUAUUAGGUGGGUGGGAGAGACAAUAAAUACACAUUAAAUUGUUCCUUUAAAUAAAGUUUUGGGGCCAAGUGUGGUGGCUCAUGCCUGUAAUCCCAGCACUUUGACAAGCUGAGGCGGGAGGAUUGCUUGAUCCCAGGAAUUCAAGACCAGCCUUGACAACACAGAAGACCCUAUCUCUACAAAAAUUGAAAAAAUUAGUCAGGUGUAGUGGCACACGCCUGUGGUCCCAGCUACCCAGUAGGAUGAGGUGGGAGGAUCAUCUGAGCCCAAGGAGGUUGAGGCUGCAGUGAGCCGUGAUCAUGCCACUGCACUCCAGCCUGGGGUACAGAGCAAGACCCUACCUCAAAACAAAAAAAUAAAGUUUUGUGUGAAUAUAGAAGUUUUCAGUUAGCUAUCAUCUUCUAAAUUUAAAAACAAACAAAAAACAGAGUCUUGCUUUGUCGCUCAGGCAGCUGGAGUGCAGUGAUGUGACCUCGGCUCACUGCAACCUCUGCCUCCCAGGUUCAAGUGAUUCUGUGCCUCAGCCUCCCCAACAGCUGGAACUGCAGGUCCGCGCCACCAUACCCAGCUGAUUUUUUGUGUUUUCAUUAGAGAUGGGGUUUUGCCAUAUUGCCUAGGCUGGUCUCAAACUCCUGAGCUCAGGCAAUCCACCUGCCUCAGCCUCCCAAAGUGCUAGGAUUAUAGGCAUGGGUCACUGUGCCCAGCCCAUUUUCUAAAUCUUAUAGUGACAAAUUAUUUGUUUAUAACCAUCAUGUCCCUUCAAUACCACAGGCCUCUUUCCUCAUUCUCUUUGAGGACUUCCUAUGGUUCAAUGAGAGAAUACAACUAAUGUCCUAGACAAAUGCUAAAGCAUUAUAUAAAUAAGAGGAGAUAUGAUUAGGAGGUUGCAGUGAGCCGAGAUAGUGUCACUGCACUCCAGCCUGCUGACAGAGCGGGACUCCAUCUCAAAAAACAAAACAAAACAGAACAAAAAGAAAUUUAUUUUUGGCCAGGUGCAGUGGCUCACACCUGUAAUCCCAACACCUUGGGAGGCCAAGGCCAGGAGAUCACCUGAGGUCAGGAGUUUGUGACCAGCCUGGCAACUUUGUGAAACCUUGUCUCUACUAAAAAUACAAAAAUCAACCAGACGUGGUGGCAGGCGCUUGUAACCCCAGCUACCUGGGAGGCUGAGGCAUGAAAAUCGCUUGAACCCAGGAGGUGGAAGUUGCAGUGAGCGAGAUUGUGCCACUGCAUUCUAGCCCAGGCGACAGAGCAAGACCUUCGUCUCAAAAAAAAAAAAAAAUUUAUUUUUUAAACUACUAAUAUCCCCUAAUUUGUUUUAUUUUUGCAUUUCCUUGAUAAAUAGCUAACAUACAUUGUGCCAGAAACUGUUCUAGGCUUUUUAUAUAUAAAAUUCACUAAAUUCUUUCAAUAACCUUGAGUAGAAAUUAGUAUUAACCCCAUUUUAUAGUUGAGGAAUAUGAGGCAUAAGAUGUAAGUAACUUGCUAAGGGUCAUGUAAGUGACCUUAGUGGCAGAACCAGGAUUCUAUUCAGGUUGGCCACCUUGAGAGCUAGGAAAUCUGCUCAAUUAUCUAUUACUCUCGUUUCCUGAGAGUGGAACUGCCUGAAGGUACAGACAUGUAGAACCAACUAAGGGUGGUAACUGUUGGGGACCAGCCUCAACACCACCCGUAGGGUACCCAAAGUCUGGUGGCGACGAAGGAAUGAGAAGAGAGAGGUUAAGAGUGCAUAAAGAGUGGGGGCCAGGGGGCCAAUUGCAAAAUGGAGGCUGCAAAAGGCUCAGAGUUCUGGUCUCCACACUAUUUACUGAGUACAAUCACUUAGAUCUAAGAAGCAGACAUUCAGGACGAAACGGUGAAAGGCAGGCAGUGCUGAAAGGAAGGCAGUGCGUCAUACACGUAAUCUACAGCAGUGGCAGUUUAAAUGAAUCUCCUUUGUGCUUAGACAGCAUAUCUUUAACUUAUCGGAGAGUAGCUGGUGGGAGCGAGCUUAACUAGGAGCCUGCAUGUCUGGCCACAUUCCAGUGCUUCAAAGGAGUGUCUUUCUCCUUGAACACAGUGUUUAUGGAUAAGAGAGCAAGUCUUGCUGAGAGCAUGGGAACAUAAUGGUGAUAAGGCUUUCCUCCUCCCACAAGAGGCCUCUUGUGGCUUUGCACAAUUUAUUGUCCCAUAUUUUUAUGGCCAGUUUAUACAGGCACCCCAUAAGCCUUUCCCCCAACAGUAACUAAGCUCUGUUCUAACAAAAAAAUUAAGAGGUUUUCUAAGAAGUUAAUUUAAUAUUACAUUUAGUGGCACUACAUGACGAGUUAGCAUUCUACUGAUGAAGAGAGUAGCUUUCCAGUUUCUACCCAUGAUGUUCAAUCCCUAACUCUCAGAAUACUGGAGUCAUUCCUUCAGCAAGCAGAAUCUUGCUGGCAGACAUUCAGUAAAGGUCUGCUACGGUGCUGACGAUAAGCAUGAUGCACCUGAAAAAACAGCAGACUGGGAGUCAGGAGUCCUGGUCCCAGCUCUUCUGCAUGUUACUUGAAGGUUGCUGGGAUUAAAUUUUAAAAAGAAAAACAAAAAAGUGCUUUAAAUUAAACUAUACAAAUGUAAAGGAUUCCUAACUAUUCUUUCCUGAACCUAAAUACACUUCACUCAUUUGGCUAGAGAUGACUUGUUUAAAUAUGGCCAAAAAAAGCGAGAAGGGAGACAGAAAACAAAACCUGUUUCAUGCAUCCUCCUAAGACCAUUCAGAUUAUGAUACUGCUCAGUAAGUUUUUCUUCCUAUUGAGAUUAAAAACACUGUUGUCAAUAAGUGGGGCCGGGUGCAGUGGCUCACGCCUGUAAUCCCAGCACUUUAGGAGGCCAAGGCAGGUGGAUCACUUGUGGUCAGGAGGAGCUCGAGACCAGCCUGGUCAACAUGGUGAAACCCCGCCUCUACUAAAAUACAAAAAUUGGCCGGGCAUGGUGGCAUGCACUUGUAAUCCCAGUUACUCAGAGGGCUGAGGCAGAACUACUUGAACCCCAGAGGCGGAGGUUGCAGUGAGCUGAGAUGGCGCCACUGCACUCCAGCCUAGGCGAAAGGGCGAGACUCCAUCUCAAAAAAAAAAAAAAGCUGGAACCAGUACACUGGAUGGCCAACAUUAGCACUGAAUCUUAAUUCUUGACACCAAACCUCUUUCAGGACAAAUAUUCCAUCAAAAACCUUAUGAAAAAACAUGGGUCAGAUUGUCAAUUUCACCAGUAAGGAUACACACUGAAGCUGAUGUGAAUUUGCAUGUUAUAGCAAAUGCUGCAGGAAACACUGAUGGUUUCAACCAUUUUAUUGACUGGUGAGUAGCUACACUGCCAUCUUCUUGUAACCCUUUUUUUUUUUUUUGAGACAGAGUCCUGCUCUACUGCCCAGGCUGGAGUGCAGUGGCAUGAUUUUGGCUCACUACAACCUCCACCUUCCAGGUUCAAGCAAUUCUCUUGCCUCAGCCUCCCAAGUAGCUGGGACUACAGGUGCCCACCACCACGCCCGGCUAAUUUUUGUAUCUUUUUAAGUAGAGACAGGGUUUCAAACAUUCUUUACAGAGAGAAAUUUCGUUAUCACACAUUUGGGCCAGGUUUCUGUCAUGUCAGCACUUGAGGAGGCUGAGACUGAAGGAUCACUUGAGGCCAGGAGUUCGAGACCAGUCGGGGUAACAUAGUGACAACCAAUCUCUGAGCCAUGAUUGUGCCUCUGCACUCCAGCCUAGGCAACAGAGACUCUGUAACAAAACAAAAUCAGGCCGGGCGCGGUGGCUCACGCCUGUAAUCCCAGCACUUUGGGAGGCUGAGGCGGGUGGAUCACAAGGUCAGGAGUUCAAGAUGGUGAAACCUCGUCUCUACUAAAAAUACAAAAAAAUUACCCGGGCAUGGUGGCGGGUGCCUGUAAUCCCAGCUACUCAGGAAGCUGAGAUGGAGAAUUGCUUGAACCCGGGAGGCGGAGGCUGCAGUGAGCAGAGAUGGUGCCACUGCACUCCAGCCUGGGCAACACAGCGAGACUCCAUCUCAAACAAACCAAACCAAACCAAACCAAACCAAACCAAACCAAACCAAACUCACAAAUGUGUCCUUAGAAUGAUGGUCCCACAAUGUAUAGCAGGAAUAUAAUUCUGAUAUAUUUUGUACUCAUAUGGCACUUUAAUUAUUUCCAGCUCUGUGCAGGCUUUCAAACAUAUAACACUGUAUUUUGUGUAUGCCUGGGCCUGCACAAAUCUACCUGUUUCCCAACUUUAACUCCUGCCCAACCUUACCCCAAAAGGUUAAUGGGGCCCAAACCUUUAGGUCUUGCCAGCUGCACCGACUUGACAAAUUCUCCACAAUAAGUCUGUACUCUGUGCGAGUAGGAGGGCCAUAUUUAUCUCGGCCACUUCUUCUAUAACCAUAUCCACCUUUGGAAGGUUCAAAUAAAUAAGAUUAUUUCAGUGGAAGAAAAGGAAAAAAAAUGACACAGCACACACCCCCCCUUAAAUAUAUUAUUUACCCCCACCCCAAACAAUAGCACGUUUUAACUCUAUUCCCACCCUUAAUUCUAAAAUAGAUUUUUAAAGAAGCAAUCAGCUAAAUAUAAACAUUUAAUUUAAAAAGUUGUAAGUAUACAUAUUCAUUAAUAUUUGCAUUUAAGAUUAACAUGCAUAAAUUUAAAACUAUUAACAAUUUAACAAUUUAGAAAUAAGUAACCAAAUUACUAAAUCAGUUACUGGUGUUACUCACAGUGAUUAAACAUUUUGUGAAUAUUUUAUAUGGAAAAAAAAAGAUUUUCAGGCACCUAUUUCAGUUUAAUCUCAUCUGUGUCUAACCCUUGGGAUCCUCACCACCCAGGUCUAAUGGGGAAAGGUUGCGGUCGUCACAUGGCUUCCUGUUUUUGGUCAGCCAAGGGCCACAAUGGUUCAAAGAGCCACGCAUGGAAAGGUAACCCAAGGUCAGCAAAUGGAACAGGCAGUCAUCUUAGCCUCAAAGGAUUCUUUUAAUUAAAACAUUGAGGUCUUUGUUAAAUCUAUGUUAAACAAUUGCAUUACAGAGAAAAAAACAACAACAACACAAACACACAUCAUUAAACAUAUUUAUAAAGUAUUAUAAACAAGAAAUUGUCAUUAGUUUAAUUAAAAUUAAACAUUAUCAAAGGCUUAUUUGUAAUUCUACAUUUUUAAAAAAGAUACAUAAUUUACAAAAUAGCUUAAACAUCAAUACGUUUAAAUGUAAUAUCAAUUAAUUACUUUAAAAAUUAGCAUGAUAACAAAAGCACGUUACUGAUAAAAGUAUGCCCUUUGAAUGCUUACUGCGUCCAGAACCGUAACUGCCAUCUCGCCGUGGGCCGCGGGCAUGCUCAACAAUUACUCGCUCACCACAAAGGUCUUUGCCAUUCAGUUCAUAAACAGCAUCAUCUGCAUCACGCAGAUCAUCAAACUCCACAAAACCAUAUCUAGAAGAGAGCAAAGAAAAUACUGGUUGGUACCAUUUUGACAUCCAGCUUCACUAACAUUAAAGAGAAAGCAAUGAGGUUCAUGCUUAGCAAAGGUUAGGUGGAUUUUGCAAACUAAGGAUCAACUUUGUCUUCUCUUCAGGUGAAACCACUUUGCUUUGUGCCAACAGGCACUGAAAGAGGUAGGGAGACUUCUCAAAGUAGACUCCUAUCUUUCUAGGAGGAGGCUGGCUACAUACACAGGACACUUCUUUUGUUUCCCAAGUAGUUGGUGGCAACUGCAAAGACAGGGAUGCUUGGUAUAAGAAUCCAAAAUAUAUAAUGCUACAAGACAUAUAACGCUCUUUCAAACACCACAUAAAACUCAUCUUUUUUAGCUUUAAAAGUGGUAUCUUAGAGAACAAUUAGACCUACAUUCAGGCACUGUGUAAUAACUGUUGAAUCAUGUGAAAGUAAAAAACUUUUUUUUAAGGUUCCUGUUCCUCUACGUAAACACAUCUGUCACAUGUGAUUAUCAGUGAAAAAAAGACUGGAGCUGUUUACUUCCCUGUGAGAUUCCAAAUUCAUUUCCAUGAAGUUUUAGAAUAGGAUGGAAUUCUCUGAAAUCUGUAUACAACUCGUGCAAACUUCUUUAAAUGGUAUUGCUACAUCUUUUCCAGCCAAGAGGUUUGGUGGCUUAACAUAUAACCAAAAGAACCCCCACCAUCCUACUAAUGCCUAUUAAAGAGUACAAUUUAUAUAGCUAAAGUGCAAAAUUUGUAAGAUACUUAUAAGCAAGGUUAUACAAAUGCCCUGUAAAUUAUGUUUUCAAGAAAUAUUUAGUUUGGUCUGACACAGCUGUGAAAAGUCCAGCUUUGUGACCAUUGCCUAUAUUUAAAAACCAAAACCAUCUUAUUGAUCAUAACUAAUCAGAAAGGAAAGUUACAAGCAAUUUCUUUAAACUCUAGUAAGGCUGUGUGUACACGGGCACACAGACUAGUGUUCCUCUGCAUUUAAACACACUGACACUACAAACAAGUUACAAGACUUGUCAGAGGGUCACUCAGCCUGCUGACAAAAAAUGAUUCCAGUUUACUUAUUUAUUUAUUUAUUUUAUUUUUUGAGACAGAGUCUCGCUGUCGCCCAGGCUGGAGCGCAGUGGUGCGAUCUCAGCUCACUGCAACCUCCACCUCCUGGGUUCAAGUGAUUCUCCUGCCUCAGCCUCCCGAGUAGCUGGGAUUACAGGCGCACGCCCCCAUGCCUGGCUACUUUUUGUAUUUUUAGUAGAGACAGGGUUUUGCCAUGUUGGCCAAGCUGGUCUCAAAACCUCAGGUGAUUCGCCCUCCUGGGCCUCCCAAAGCGCUAGGAUUAUAGGCGUGAGCCACUGCGCCCGGCCUCCAGUUUCUUUAGAAUGUGAUGCUAUACUCAGUAACAUGUUAAAUAAGUGAGAACUCAGAAUUGUGGAAUUUUUCCUUUACUAAAGAGUUCCUUUCAUACAACAGUCUCUCAAGGUGACAAUGUGCUAGGUUACAAUGUGUAGGUAACAACGUUGGAGGGUUUUUUAUGUUGAAAUGUCUGAGUGGCACUGAAUGUCAACUCCAUUAAAAAAAAUUAACACAGACACACCCGGUUAUUUAACAGGAAGUGCCUUGCAGUAACACAAUUCAGAAGCCACCUGGCUCAAUUUAUGGGCUGUGAAGUCUUUAAAACAUAGUUUCACGCUUCCAUAGGCUAGAAUUGCUGAGCAGCUUAAUAAGAAGGAUUUUGAACAUGCUGUUAUCUUAGAAAAGGCAAGUAAAGCCUCUCGAAAUCCCUGACUUACUAUGUUCAAAAGUGCUUUACAGUGACUAAAAAUCUAUUAAUAGAUAAUAUAAUGUAGCUGCUUUUUCCUUUCUUAGAUAGAAUGGGUCAUUAGGAAAACUAUACUAUUAUUUUCAGAGACAAUUUUUCUUUUAAGGCAAAUAAAAAACCAACUCAACUAUUUUCUACUUUGGUUUAUCUCUAGAUGGAUUCAAAACAAUAACAACAACAAAAGUGCCCUCCUGAAUUUAAUUGUCAAGACCAGUCCCAAGUCUCCUCUGUCCACAGCAUCACUGCUUUUGGCACCAUGUGAGAGCCUGACGCCAUGCGGAGGGAGGAGGGACAUUUGGCCUGGGCGUGAUGGAAUGGCCUCCACUCCCUUCGAGUCAUACUCUGGCUCGGCACUGUUCAAUGACUGAAUGACCAGGACUGAUCUAACGUGAUCUUAGAAGGACAUCACCGAAUCCUGAGGAUUAAACAAACCACAGGAAAAUACCAACUGUUUUCCUCAAAAUAGUGAAGGGUUACAACUACUGGGCAGAGGGGGUGGUCACAGAAUGCAACAUCCUAAGCUCUGCAGGUCAACUGAAAUAGAAAGCCCAGUGGCCGCUGAUGGCAAGUGAUGCUUCUGUCAGACCUACAUGGUAAUACAUUCUCCCAGACUCAAAGAUCACCCUGUUCCAAGGCUCAUAUGCAGAACUUAUCCUGACCUUUCAGAGAAAGCAGUGACAAUCUGUUCAGUGGAGGCAGGUUAAUUUAAAAAUAAAAAUUAAUGUUACGACAGAUGAAUCUUUCUUUGCAAGCUGAGAAUGAAGCAAGGCAUAUCUUGCCAAUAAAACUUCCUUGAGUUACAGGGACAACUGGUAAUGUUACAGAAAAAUCCCUACAAACCUCCCCCAGUAUUUACUUCUAAAAAGUUCCAACAAGUGGGUCACUUGGUAAGCCUGUUUUGGGGGUAUCCAAAACAUUUAUUAAAUUAGCUGACUUGAGAUUAAAUUUAUUUUACAGAAAAAUUUUGGCUACUAUUCUGUGAAAAAAUCUAUUUGAAACAUAUCAAAGUUCAGUUCAAGGAUCAAAUCAGGCAUCUGAUUGUCACUUCUCUCUGCCAUUGACAUGCUGAGUGGGUUUGGAAGAUUAAAACAAACAUCUUCGCAUACAACAAACCAUAUCUGAUACGGACUCUUGUUCUGAGAAUAAAGCAAAGAGCAGAUCAGUGUGGUUGUUUCUACCAAGUCUGCUUUACUUGAAGAAUGACUUAAUUUCAUUCAAUAAAUAGAGUGAAUAAGAUAGAAAUAAAUUAAGACAGAAGACUAGAUAAUAAAAAUAAAAUGUUACCUCUGACUAAACAAUCUCUCUAUUAAGCAAUGGUAUCGUAGUUUAUAUUCAUAGCACCCAUCAGCUAGGUACUAUUAUUUCUGUUUUACAAAUGAAGAAAUCAAGGCACAGAAUAUUAAAUAACUUGCAUAAAAAAACCCCGCCGAGCUGGCAUUCAAACCUGUGGUUUGACACCAGGGCUGAAACUCCCUAACUAUUAAGACUGAAGCAGCAAGAACCGACCUGGGUUCUAGUCUUGGUUCUGCUACAAACUUUGAAGAGCAAAUUUAAAUCAUUUUAUUUCUCUGGGUCUUAGUUUAUUCAUGAAAUGAGGGAAGUAUACUGCAUAUCUCCAAGGCUUCGACUAACAUCAAAAGCAUGACAGGUUAAGUGUUAAAAUUAGUGCUCCUUUGGUUUAACAAUGGAGAUGGGGUCUCAAUAUGUUAUCCAGGCUGGACUUGAACUCCUGGGAUCAAGGGAUCCUGCGGCUUCAGCCUCCCAAGUAGCUGGGAUUACAGGCACACGCCACUGUGCUGGGCUUCAAAAAUGGAAAAUUUAAACUCUAAAAUUUGACAUGCCUGCACUAGGAUGGUACCACCAGACACCAACAGAUGAAAAGGGAUACAUUUUUAUCAUCUAAAAUACCUUUUAUGUAUGGGUCCCAAUUUUAGUUCAUUUAAACACUUUUAACUGUUCCUGAAUUAAUUAGUGCCUUCAACAAAGUAAAGCUCUUCCUGGUAACUAACACUAGAGCCUUUUAAAGCCAAGCUUAACACUCCCUUUGUGCUUUGCAGCAAGUAACGUGAAACAAAUCUCUUUUCUCAGAAAGCAAUCUCCUUUUGAAUCCUCUGUCAGAGUAAAAAGGAAUAUAAAAUACACACAUGCAUGUAUACAUACUAUUAUAUGUAUGCACGUGUGUACAUAUAUGUAUAUACAUCUCUGGUGUGACUUGUGAAUAAGCCUCACAAAACAACCCAAGAGAUAAAUUUCUCUAAUUCUAACAGCAGAAAUCCUUCCUCUUCUGCUCUAUUAAAAACAAAGAACACCUUUCAAUAAUUCAUAGGAUGCAGGAAUUCAGGAGAAAGAAUCUAAGACAAAUGUAAAAACCCCUCCACAGCAGGGAUUGACAGAAACACAAAGAGCCCUGCGAUACACUUUCAAUCUUCCUCCCCUAUGCAUAUGAAAGAAUAAAAAGCAUGACCUCACUAUUCAAUACACAACACCCUUCAAGUAAGAGAAGAAACUCCUUUCUUUAAUGUUUCUCUGCAAUAGGUUGAGUAUUCUGAAUCCGAAAAUCCAAAAUCUGAAAUGCUCGAAAAUCCGAAACUUUCUGAGCAGCAACAAGAUGCUCAAAUUUGCUCAUCAGAACAUUUUGGAUUUUGUUUAGGAAUGCUCAACCAUUAAGUACAAUACAAACAUUCCCAAAUCCCAAAAAAAACCCUGAAAUCCAAAAUUCGUCUGAUCCCAAGCACUGUGUUGUCUUUACCAAAACUAUUUUCCUCUGGUCACAUUCUAUCCUCACAAACCUAGUCAAAAGAAUGAGGGGAAGUUGCUGUCAUUUUCCCUGUAAAAAAAGGCAGGCACCAUGAGUCUUACCAAGUAUAGACAGGUAUCUGGAUACCACAAACAAAAGCCACACUGAAUUACAUGGGCUGCUCUAAACUUUAGUCCAUUCUUAUCCCAUUGCCAAUGCGCUCAUCUUCGUCAUUCAAUAGCUGAUGUACUGCUCAGGUUAUCAGUCAUAAUUCUGAAAAGGUAGAACUGGAAUGACGUAUUUUUAAAACUAAGGUACUCUAAGACUUCAACUUUUGAAAUGUUAACCACACUUCUUCAGGCAAGAAUUAUUAUCUGAGUUUGUAUCCUUGCUAAAUAUCCUUUCUCUGAUCCUAAUAGCCUAUACCAAUGGUCCCAAACACCAAGUCUGCCCUUUGCUCUGUUAUGUUCUACUGAAUAGGAUUUACCUCAACUCUUUUCAGAACAGCUUAGGGUCACUUCUGUAUUCCAAACAUCUUCACUGAACAGGGAGACUAAGUCCUGUCUGCAAUCUAAUACCCAUGGCUUGCUCUGGAAACAGGCUGAUCAAUGGCUAACUGGGCAAGGCAUGACUAAGGGGGUGCUCAAUACCAGAAACUGCUAGGGAGUGGGUAUGAGGAGCAGGGGAAAGCAAGCCUCCAUGCGUGUGACCGUGGUCACCCACCAACACUGCUUACCGAGGGGCAUGCCUUGGAUGGUCUCUCUAUAAGAAAAUAUGCCCCUUUCCACGGUGGAUCUCUGCUCACCUUUGUCCUAAAACUGUGCCACAUGCUUUUCUUUGUAUGUGGACAUGACAGUCCUCAGCCAACCAUCAGCAGGAUGUGAGUUUUGUUUUCACAAUGUGGUGAGCCAUUCCCACAUUCACUCAUUUUCCUUGUAAGAACCGAACCUCUCCAUGGCUGGUCAGGAUUAGGGAUGUUGCUGUAGCCAAGGAAAAAUUUUCAUCUGUUGAAGUUAACCCACGGGGUGGCUUGAACCCUCAAUCUAGAGUCAGUAGCACUGUACUUUAAGGGGAAAGUCCUUAAAUCUACCCUGAAAGAAAUGGCAUUCAGUGAACAGGAAUCAAACAGCUUUGUUUCAAAGCACUCAGUGAUGUCCUAUGCUUCAGCCAACUUGGUCUUAUGAGGUAAAAAGUCAGGACACACUGAUAGGACAGUACUAAAAAAACGGUAAUUCUUGCUGUCUGCAUAAAGUGCUUGGCAAACUGUAGAAAGACACUUCUGCAACCAACUCUAGUGCUCAGAAGAGGCCAACUCAGAGAAAAGCUUGUGAAUGAGAACAGUGUAACUGCCCCGAUUCCAAAGGUCUGCAACAUUCCAGGGAACCAGCGUUCAGGCCCUCACAGAAGAAUUAACCAAUGUCACAUUUACUGCUCAGGAUCAGUGAUUAUGGUUGCAAUUUGACUUUCCUGGCAACAGAGGGUUGUUUACAACCCACAACUAAAAGCUGCUACCACAUGAAAUGGGUUCCUGAGAUCCUUUCCUUUCUUGAGACAGGAAGGAGGCUGCUCUGGGCAUUGUGGCCUCUCUUUAGUCUCAGAGGAGGGAGGGCCAUCAAGGCCACCUGGAGGAGGUGGAUGACUUACCCGUGCUCACUGAGUGGCAGAGCUGGGGUGCGACUUCAGGGCUCACCAUUACCCAGUCUGGGACUCUUUUCACGUCGGCAAACUGGCAGUUCCCGCACACCAAGGGCUCUCUGAUUAGAGCUAGUGUGGAUUCCUGGUCUGCAAACGUUGGCCACAGCUCAGUCUGCACUUGAUCUUUCCCCACCUUCAAAGAAGAAAACCUACCUCAUGAUUUCUCUCUUCCGGAUCCCUUGACCAUCUAAUUUGCUCCCAACACCUUUGUAAUCACUUCUGACUAUAUCUUAUUGGUUACCCACUGGGUCUACUGCCAAGUUCUGCAGUUUUCUCAUUUGCUGGGCCUUCAGGGCUGUCUCUACCAUUUGGAUUAAUUUAUGUAAUUCUAGGCUAGAGCUAUUUUUACUUAGUCAACUUGUCUUUUGCAUUGUGUCAGGAAAAGUCAGCUACUAAAUCAUUUUUUUGUUUAGAAGUCUAUAACGACUCCUAAGUAUCUUUAUGUCACUCUCUAAACCUGGAACACCUUGACUACACAAGUUGAAUUAUAUCAAUCUUCUUCCAUAUGCUUGAGAAUUACCUCUUUCAUGAAGCCUCAGAAACUUGCCUAUUCCAAUUAUUUUAGGACUUUCUUUAGCUUUAGCACUUCUAUUCAAUUUUACGCUUUUUGUUUUUGUUUUUUUGAGAUGGAGUCUCGCUCUGUUGCCCAGGCUGGAGUGCAAAGGCACAAUCUUGGCUCACUGCAGCCUCCACCUCCCAGGUUCAAGCAGUUCUCCUGCCUCAGCCUCUUGAAUAGCUGGAAUUACAGGCACACGCCACCACGCCCAGCUAAUUUUUAUAUUUUUAGUGGAGACGGGGUUUCACCAUGUUGGUCAGGCUUGUCUCAAACUCCUGACCUUGUGAUAUGGCCGCCUCAGCCUCCCAAAGUGCUGGGAUUACAGGCGUGAGCCACUGUGCCCAGUCAUGUUUCUGUAGCUUUUUAAGUCUUGUUUUUGUCUUUGUGCUUACCUUCUCUUUUGAUUAUGAGCUCUUCACUAAGAAAAACGAAGGCUAAUAUCUGUUGGCUAUUUAGCACAGUGCCUGGCACAGUAAAUAAUUUAUCCAUAAUAUUUCAUCCAUUUGUAUAUCAAAUGUGAAGAAUGUAUUAUUAUUCUUCUCAUUUUACAAUGAGAAACUGAGGCUUGGAGUAAGCAACUUGCUCAUUUUCAAGGAGCUCAUGAGUGAAGGAGCUAGAUUUGAACCCAGACCCAUGACUCUAAAAAUCCCAGCUCUAAACCACAAGGUUCUAAUUCCUUUUUUUUUUUUUUUUUAAAAAAAACAUAGUCUCGCUCUGUCGCGCAGGCUGCAGCGCAGCGGCGCGAUCUCCACUCACUGCAACCUCUGACCCUGGGCUCAAGCAAUUCUUGUACCUCAGCCUUUAGAGUGGCUGGGACUACAGGUGUGCACCACCAUGCCCGGCAAAUUUUUUGUAAUUUUUUUUUUUUUUUUUUUAGGAGAGACAGGGUUUCACCAUGUUGCCCAGGGUGGUCUCGAACUCCUGAGCUCAGGCAAUCCACCUGCCUUGGCCUCCCAAAGUGCUAGAAUUACAGGCAUGAGCCACCAUGCCCGGCCUUCUACUGUAUUUUAAAGGCAGAUGCUUCUCUUCCAGUCCUGUGUACAAUCUUUUUUCACUCAAUAAAUGCUGCUGCUUGACUUAAUGAUACUCUAACAUCAGAUAAAGUCAGGCUGUAGUAAAGGUUUUUGAUAUAAUGGGGUAAAGUCUCUAGAGAAAAAAGAAAUUGACCUUGGGGCAGGGUGAAGCACCUCUAAGCUGGGGGUAUGUGACAACCAGGUUACUUUCACUCGUCUUUUGGUUCCCAUUAGCCAGUGUCAGCCAUCUGGUCCUUCCGAAAACAUGUGUGGGUUCAGAACAUAACAGACUAGAAGAAUAGAGGAAAAAUAAGAUUAUUCUGUGCAAUCCCCAUUCUGGAGGUCCCAUAUCAACCCCCGGAGUCUGUCUUUGCUUCUAAGGCUCAGCAAAAAUUAGACCAGCAUAAAGAAGAUGAAGACUUGGAUCUAGACGUGGUGGAUGUGAAUGAAUAUUGGCAAUAUUAUGUAUUUAGGAAUGUAUUUAAUUAGUUUUGCAAGGAAUGGUGACUUGAACCAAAAAAUAUAAGCGUGAAUGGUAGGAGGGAAAUGGGCCAGAAAUCAAAGAAUACUAGAAAGUUUACAGACUUUCAACUAUACAAAGGUUAAAGCAGCAACCAGAAAAGUACCAUGCAGAUGAUAAACAUCUAAGAUGUGAUUUAAUUUUCAUUAACUAAAAACUAUUUUUAACAUGCAGCCCACUAGGACUCUUCUUCACAUUUCUUUGUAAUAAUUACUACUCCUAUUUUUGAAAGUUUUACGAUGUAUAAAGCAUUAUGCUAAGUGCUUUACACACAUUAUAUCCAUUUAAUUUUCACAACUCUGAGGUUUACUGUCAUCUGACAGAUCAAGAAACUAACUUAGAGGAGUUGAGUAACUUGCCAAGACUAUCCCAAAGACCUGGGAUUCUUCACACCCAGCUAACCUAAAACCUGCAUUCUACCACCACGUUUUAACCGCCUCCUAUAUACCAAUGAAAAGUGGUCCAUAAAACCAGAGUUGGAGAAACACAAGCUCUUGCACAGAAAAUCAGUUUCAUCAAAUUAUGUGCUGUAGUGUGGAAGACAAAUGCCCACAGGAAUAUAAGCAUCUUAUGAGAAAGAGUAAGUGGCAAGAAAACACCAUUUCUGCAUGUGAUGUGUGUGUGCUAAUACCAGUAAGUUGUGAACAUUUAUUCUCUACAAGUGGAACCAAACCCAUAUGCCAUCAAAAUUUUAAUACUAGUCUAGGAAAAUAGAAAAAGGUAACAAAUCAUUAAGAAACUUAUAUCUCAGCAAUGAGAACACAAAUAUAUCAGUGGGAAAAUUAAACUCAUGAUCCUUUCUCAUAAAGUAAACCAACUGCUGAAAAAAAAUCUCUAAUGAUGAACUAACCAAACUCAAGCCCAUGGUAUUGAGUCCACAUUGCAGAUAACAGCCCAUCUCUAACAGAAUAUAUAUUCACAUAGUAGGGUGAGAAAAACAGAACAAUCAUUAUCCUAAACACCAAACAGUAAAACUAAAUCCUCCCAGAAUGGGAGGUAGAGAGGAAUCUGCAUCAAAUAUGAAUUUAGUCUUACUCUGUAACUACUCUAUGAGCCUAUUUGCCAACUUUGUUUUAGCUAUUCAAAACUUUCAAAAAUGAACUAAGUCAGCUAAGGUAUUUCACUUUUACACUGCAAAUAGUUUGUGGAUCAAACUAUCAUUACCCCCUGCAAUCAUAACUGAACUUUCUUUUUUGAUAUUUUAAAGUCAACAUGGCUUUCCUGAAAGGGAGGGCAGAUACAAUCAUCUGUGUCCAUUUCAAUUUUCUGACACUUUUCAACACUAAGGAUAAAUGAAAUUGAAAGCUUUCAAAAAAGGGGAAUCAACUAUUGCCUGAUGACAAGAAGUUCGUGAAGACUCAACCACAAAUUAAAAACGAUUUGAAAAAACUCGAGAGAUGAAAGUCACAUUACCAAUUUAGAAUAAAACUCUUGGGAUUUAAUAUAGAAUUACUUUAUCUGUUAUUCCUACUUAAAGAAAUAAAGGUUUACACUCUGCAGACAGCACUACCUGAUUCCACACAAAAGCUACAAACAAAACCAGUUCAUACUUACCUCUUAAACAACACAAUGAGCAGGCUGCCAGGUGUUAAAGCUUCAUUAAAGAUGAUGCCUCUUGGAUCAUCUUGGCUGUAUGAGGCACCAUGUCCCUCAUAAUCGCCCCUGGUCCCUGGGCUGGAGUCUGUUUCUUCAUUUUCAUUUUUGGUUAAAGAUGCCACUCCCUAUGCUUUUAUUAAUUAGUGGAUGCCACUAAUUAAGUAUUUUAAUGAAUUUUUCAAAUUCUUUUAAAAUGGAUGGAUCAAUAGCUUCAUUUCAAUUACAUGAAAACCUUUCCAAGUCCAUGUUUCUGGUCUGUGGUUCCUGACUCCCUUGCCUGAGCCUCCUGCUCUGUCUGCCCUCUUCAUUCCUGAAGGCUGAAUUCAAACCUCCCUCUUUCAGACUUCCUCUUCUCUCUAGGUCUUGGGGGUCUUUGUUCAUGAAGGUCCCCUUUCUGGCAUAAAAACCUAAACCCAUGGUUGGGGACCUGGGAGAAAUAAAGUGCCUUUCAAGCGCUUCUUCAGACAUUGCGUGCAGUUCAGAAAUCUUUAGCCUGGGAGACUUUCAUCUCAACACACAGAAAACUCAAGUAAAACAUUUCCUCAAACUAUGGGCAUACAAAUUCAGAGCAUAAUCUAAUCCCUCACCUUCAGGGUACUAUAAGACCAGACGGCCCUAGGAAUGACAAUAAGGCAGAGAACAUUUACUUGUACAAAUCCUUCCUCAGCCAACCACGAUAAAGCUGAUACCACCUUACAGCUUUUCAAAGAGUAGCCUGAGGAGGAGAAUCACUAGCAGUCUCCAACUAAGGACAACAUCAUAAAAAAUACCAUCUGUCUCACUUUUGGCAGUAACUUGUCAGCUUGCUGGAAGCCUCUACAGAGACUAAAGGCUGAACAAGCCCGGAAACCUGAACUACCCUCUCACCCUCAGAGGCAAUCCCCAAAGGACAGGACUAAAGGAAAUAGCAUGAGGGAAGCUUUGAAUGUCAAUGCCCACAUGUAUCUAGUAUGGGAAUUUAAAAAAUCUUCUAUUUCCGGAGUUGUCAAUAACUCAUUUUGUAACCUUGGGCCAGUCACCUUAUCACCCCAUGCCUCAGUUUCCCCAUCAGUACAAACUAGGGACAACACUUGUUCAUAAAGUACUUUGACAUACUCAGUUGAAAAAUAAGUCAUACAAAUGCAUUAAUAUUUUCGGAAGUUUUAAGAUUUCAGUGUUAGCUUACAAAUUUGUAAGUAUCACCCCAACGGUAUUCUCUCAGAUGCCUGGAGCACCUUUCUUCUGAGGAGCUCAAAGUAAAAUUUGCGGUUCUGGGUACCUGGAAGCAUAAAAAAAUACUAGAAACCCAAACCACAUUUUAUUACCGAGUCUAUAUCCUGUGCCUAUCUUUUAAGAAGGGACAAAUACUUCGUAUGGCCCUUAAAUUCAUACAGUACCUCAAUGAGAAAGGAGGAGCAAAACAGUAUAUUAAACUGAAGAACAGGGAUUUUAAAUGACUUAGUCAAAUAAUUACAAAUGAUGUUUAUUCAUACCACAAACUGAAGGGACCAAGAACCAAGGAGUGGAGGUCUUGAACCAGGGCAAUUUACGCUGUUAACAUUUGGUCAAAAAUCUCAAUAUGGUAUUAUCUCUUGGCAUUGAUUUUUCAAAAUGACAGAAAAAAAUUAAAUUCCCCAUAUAUUGGGGGAAAAAAAUAAUACACUUUUUUGGGGGGUAAGUUGACUUUAAAAAGUGACUUUUAAUAAAAAAAAAUUUGAUCACAUUUGUAAUAGUUAUAUUACUAAUAAAACAAUGACAGAAUGCUACUUAAUUCAUAGUCCUAUCUCUAUUUAUUAUUCAUUCAAGAAAAACUUCCUGAUUAUUUUUCACUUGGUAAAUUAGCAUCUUUUAUUUUUAUUUUUUAUUUUUGAGACAGAGUCUCACUCUGUCACCCAAGCUGGAGUGGAAUGGUGUGAUCUCACACUGCAACUUCCGCCUCCCGGGUUCAAGCGGUUCUCCUGCCUCAGCCUCCCGAGUAGCUAGGAUUGCAGGAGCCUACCACCAUGCCCAGCUAAUUUUUGUAAUUUCAGUAGAGACAGGGUCUCAUCAUGUUGGUCAGGCUGGUCUCGAACUUCUGACCUCAGGUGAUCCGCCCGCCUUGGCCUCCUAAAGUGCUGGAAUUACAGACGUGAGCCACCACGCCUGGCCAGCAAACACAACAGGGGUACUCCAUGCUGUUGAAGUGCCCAUCACACGGGCAUGCUCAUACACUGCGGGUGUUAAGUGUAACUGGUGUAGCUUUUCUGGAAAGUUAUUUGGUUAUAUGCACUGAGAUACUUGAAUAUGUUCACUCCUGCUGUGACACAUGAAUUUUAUUUCAUGGAAUCCAUAUGUACUCAGGGAUAAUAAAAAUGCAAACAAAGUUUUAUGCACAUAAUACCCAUCACAGGGUUACUUAUAACAGCAAGAAUUAGGAGACCAAAAAAAAGGUAGACAAUAUAAGAGGAAUGGUUGGGUAAGUCAUAAUAUUGCCAUACAAUGGAUUUUAUGAAGCCAUUAAUAAGGAAGAUUUUAAUGUAAUAGAAAAUACAUGAGAUAAAUUAAGUAAAAAAAGCGUGACACAAAAUUGCACGUAAAACCUCACCCAUCUUAAAAGGAUGCUUAAUGAUACUUUUCACUUUAUGCUUUCAUAAUAUCUAAAUGAUCUACAAUUAACCUACAUUUAUUCUCUAAUGAGUCAAAAAGGCUUUUUUUUUUUUUUUUUUUUUUUUUGAGACAGAGUCUUGCUCUGUCAUCCAGGCUGGAGUGCAGUGGUGCGAUCUCGGCUCACUGCAAGCUCAGCCUCCCGGGUUCACGCCAUUCUCCUACUUCAACCUCCCAAGUAGCUGGGACUACAGGCGCAGGCCAACAGGCCCGGCUAAUUUUUUUUGUAUUUUUUUUUUAGUAGAGAUAGGGUUUCACCAUGUUAGCCAGGAUGGUCUCGAUCUCCUGACCUCGUGAUCCGCCCGCCUCGGCCUCCCAAAGUGCUGGGAUUACAGGUGUGAGCCACCACGCCUGGCCUAAAAAGUUGUUUUUUUUUUUUCUUUUUUUUUUUUUUUUUUGAGAUGGAGUCUCACUCUGUUGCCCAGGCUGGAGUGCAAUGGUGCAAUCUCGGCUCCCGGGUUCUAGCGAUUCUCCUGCCUCAGCCUCCUAAGUAGCUGGGAUUACAGCAAGUGCCACCAUACCCAGCUAAUUUUUGUCUUUUUAGUACAGACGGGGUUUCACCAUGCUGGCCAGGCUGGUCUCAAACUCCUGACCUCAAGUGAUCCGCCCACCUCAGCUUCCCAAAAGUGCUGGGAUUACAGGUGUGAGCCACCGCACCUGGUCCAAAAAGUUCUUGAAUUUGUUAUGCUUGAUAGGCUAAAUAGACAAGCCUUAAAGGCUGCCAAAUGAUUUCCUCAUAUAUAAUUCUAAACAUUUUAAUUAGAAAAAAUUAGUUUAAAAAAUUAUAAUAAAGGGCACUGUUCAGAAAAGUAGGAACUCUUGGUGGGUGCGGUGGCUCACGCCUGUAAUCCCAGCACUUUGGGAGGAUGAGGUGGGCGGAUCACCUGAGGUCAGGAGUUUGAGAACAGCCUGGCCAACAAGGUGAAACUGUGUCUCUACUAAAAAUACAAAAAUUAGCGGGGUGUGGUGGCAGGCGCCUGUAAUCCCAGCUACUUGGGAGGCUGAGGCAGGAGAACUGCUUGAACCCGGGAGGCAGAGGUUGCAGUGAGCUGAGAUCAUGCCACUGCACUGCACUGCAGCCUGGGAGACAGAUUGAGACCCCAUCUCAAAAAAAAAAAGAAAAAAGAAAAAAAAAAAUAGGAGCUCUUAAACACCGCAGGUGGAAACGUAAAUAUUAAUUUACCGAGUAAUGGAAUAGCUAGCAAAAGCAUUAAAAUGUGUAUAUGCUUUGACUCCCAAAGUCUACUUGCAGGAAUCUGCCCUAAGGCAAAAAGAAAUGUAUACAAAAAUUCAUAUAAAGGAUAUUCAACAGUAUUAUACAUGCAUAAAAUAGUACAAAAAUAAAGAUAACCUAAAUGCCUUGCAACAUGGUUCUGAUUAUGUCCAUUAAAUAACAUAUGUAUGUUGGAGUACUAUGUAGCCAUUAGAAACCAGGUUGUAGGAGAAUACUUAAUGACAAAGGAAAAGGAUCAGGCUGUUAGGGUGAAACAAGCAAAUUAUAAAAUAACUUAUAGUAUGAUUCCAAGUUUGGAAAAAAAAAAGGAGUCAGGAGAGGCAUAAGAAAAGGGAGAGACUGUGCAGGAGAUAGGUUUUUUUUUUUUUUUUUUUGAUGGAGUCUUGCUCCAUCACCAGGCUGGAGUGCAGUGGCCCGAUCUAGGCUCAUUGCAACCUCCACUUCCUGGGUUCAAGCAAUUCUCCUGCCUCAGCCUCCUGAGUAGCUGGGACUACAGGCGUGCGCCAUCAUGCCCAGCUAAUUUUUGUAUUUUUAGUAGAGACAGGGUUUCACCAUGUUGGCCAGGAUGGUCUCAAUCUCUUGACCUUGUGAUCUGCCAGCCUUGGCCUCCCAAAGUGUUGGGAUUAUAGGCGUGAGCCACCACAACUGGCCGGUGGGUUUUUUAAUUAAAAAAAAAAAAAAGAAAAGAAGAGAGACAGAGUGCGUGCGUGCACAUGCCCAUACCUGUAUGUGAAAAAAAGUAAAACUAAAAAACCCAAAAUGCAAAGAGUUACAUCUUUGGAUUAUUUUGGUCCUUCUCCAUAUAAAAAAAUUAUAAUAGGCCAGGUGUGGUGGCUCACGCCUGUAAUCCCAGCACUUUGUGAGGUAGAUCACUUUGAGGUCAGGAGUUCAAAACCAGGCUGGCCAACGUGGUGAAACCCCGUUUCUACAAAAAAUACAAAAAUUAGCCGGGGGUGGUGGUGCACACCUGUAAUCCCAGCUACUUGGGAGGCUGAGGCAGCAGAAUCGCUUGUACCUGGGAGGUGAGCCACGAUUGUGCCACUGCAUUCCAGCCUGGGCAACAGACAGAGACUCCAUCUCAAAAAAAAUUUCCGGCCGGGCGUGGUGGCUCACGCCUGUAAUCCCAGCACUUUGGGAGGCCGAGGCGGGUGGAUCAUGAGGUCAGGAGAUCGAGACCAUCCUGGGUAACACAGUGAAACCCCGUCUCUACUAAAAAUACAAAAAAUUAGCCGGGAGCGGUGGCGGGCUCCUGUAGUCCCAGCUACUUGAGAGGCUGAGGCAGGAGAAUGGCGUGAACCCAGGAGGCGGAGCUUGCAGUGAGCCGAGAUUGCGCCACUGCACUCCAGCCUGGGCGACAGAGCCAGACGCUGUCUCAAAAAAAAAAAAAAAAAAAAAAAAAAAAAUUUCCAAUUAUAAAUAUGUGCUACUUUGAAAAUUAAGAGUGGGUCUUUAAUUUUAACUAUACAUAAAGAGAGUUAUUCAAACACGCUUUUAAACAAAACUUGUUUUAACCUCUUCUUAGAUAAUCCUAAAAUUAAUCCAGAACCAAAUGUCUUCCUUUUCUUAACAUAGACUCUAAUGCUUUGUACAUGCCAGUGCAAAUGGGAUGCUAUUUCUGAGGCUGGCAGAAGGGCUUAAAAACAAAAAGGUGGCCGGGCAUGGUGGCUCACACCUGUAAUCCCAGCACUUUGGGAGGCCGAGGCAGGUGGAUCAUGAGGUCAGGAGAUCAAGACCAUCCUGCCUAACACGGUGAAACCCUGUCUCUACUAAAAAUACAAAAAAUUAGCCGGGCGUGGUGGCACGCGCCUGUAGUCCCAGCUACUUGGGAGGCUGAGGCAGGAGAAUUGCUUGAACCCAAAAGGCGGAAGUUGCAGUGAGCUGAGAUUGUACCACUGCACUCCAGCCUGGGCGACAGAGCAAGACUCCAUCUCAAAAAAAACAAAAAACAAAAAACAAAAAAACAACAAAUAGGUGGUAGGGUUCCUAAAGGCAAAGUGUUUGCUUUUUCUUUUGUCACUCAUUAGUUAUAGCAUUAUCAUAAAAAUGAUAAAGCACUUCUCUGCCACUUGGUGGUGGGUGAAGAUAAUCCCUCUCAUGAUUAAGAAUACGGUAACGAUGAAUGACAGAGCCUUGGGAGAAGCCUUGGGAGAAUUAAAAACUAAAAACUUUAAAAAAAAAAAAAAGAAAAAAAUACUGUAACAGCUCAUCUAACCAGAAACCAGCAACCUGGAACAUUAAACUAACUAUAUACUUCCUAAUCUGUCAAGAAUUCAGGAGUCAAAAGAGAAAAAUCCCUGUGUAGGUGCUGGGGUUGGCAGUAAUUCUUCUCAGUAUCUAAGGCUUAAUAAUGCCCUCCAGUGAGCAGUGACAUACACAACAACGACCUGCCUCACUCGAAGAGUCUUGAACUCCACAUUAAAAAAAUUAUGGUGCAUUAAACAAGGGCGAAAACAAAAAUUUUCUGGUAAUAAUUAGAUAGCAUGACUAAACAGACCACAACAUCCCCUGAAAAUUCAGGCUAUUCAUGAUUUCACUGUUCCAUGAAACGCAGGUUCUGAAGUUUAAAUCCAAGUUUCCCUUGAGAGUUUUAAUUCAUGACUUGAACUAAAAAAUAAAACUAUAAAUUUCAAUGAUCUGGGGGUUUAUCCUUCUAGCUACUAGACAGGCAAAAUAAUCUUAAUAUGUGGUAAGUUUUACUCAUUAACUAAAAUAUGGAAAAGCUAAGAUAUAAAGAUCUGACUAAAACCACAAGAUUUUAUGACAAAAGGGCAACUAGUGUACUCAAAAUUCUUUCACACUUUACAUGAAAUGGCUUAUUAUAAAAAAUAAAAUCUAUAUACAAUCAAAGCCAACAAAAGUUACCACAGAGCUGAAAGGGUAUAAACAAGUGCUGCUAAUAUUGUUGCUUCCUUGACGUGCAUCUAGGAUUCCUGCCCCUCCCUUCCCUACAGUAACUCUUUUUGUUUUUUUUUUUUUUUGAGACGAAGUUUUGCUCUUGUUGCCCAGGCUGGAGUGCAAUGGCAGGAUCUCGGCUCACCGCAACCUAUGCCUCUGAGGUUCAAGUGAUUCUCUUGCCUCAGCCUCCCGAGUAGCCAGGAUUACAGGCAUGUGCCACGACGCCCGGCUAACUUUGUAUUUUUAGUAGAGACAGGGGUUUCUCCAUGUUGGUCAGGCUGGUCUUGAACUUAUGACCUUGGGUGAUCUGCCUGCCUUGGCCUCUCAAAGUGCCGGGGUUACAGGUGUGAGCCACCGUGCCAGGCCCUUGCAGUGACUCUUGAAGUUUAUGGGGCGGGUAGAAAAGUAGGAGACCUUAAUGGGAAAUGGAAUGGUCUAUAUGAUCCUGGGAGAUCUUCGUUGUAUUUGUGGUCCCAAACCAUCUUUCAAAAAGUUCUCUAGAACAGUGGCAAUCUACAUUAGCGAUGCCUGGUGUAAUAAAACGGUAGGCAAUGAACUCUUGCUUACACACCUCUUCUCCAAACCCUCUCAGGGUCCAUAGAAUCCUUUCCUGAACACUAAAUCUCCUUUGAAGAACUCAUUUGUUUCCUUAUUUGGUCAUCUUCCUAUUACACAAGAUUUUUUUUUUUUUUUUUUUUUUUUGAGACAGAGUCUUGCUCUGUUGCCUAGGUUGGAGUGCAGUGAUGCAAUCUCUGCUCACUGCAACCUCCACCUCCCAGGUUCAAGCAAUUCUCCUGCCUUAGCCUCUAGAGGAGCUGGGAUUACAGGUGCCCACCACCACACCCAGCUAAUCUUUGUAUUUUUAGUAGAGAUGGGGUUUCACCAUGUUGGCCAGGCUGGUCUCAAACCCCUGACUUCAAGUGAUCCACCUACCUCGGCCUCCCAAGGUGAUGGGAUUACAGGUGUGAGCCACCGUGACCGGUCUAGACAAGCAUUUUAUGCCUUAAUUCUAAACUUAACUUACAACCCUUCAGCCUAACAUAUCUACUGAUACAUCUCACUUCUACAAAUCUGAACUCCAGCAAUUCUUCAAAGACCUAUCUAAAGCAUCCAAAAUCUGUUUCUGAGUUUCAAUUACUUUUUUUUUUGAGACAGAGUCUCGCUGUCGCCCAGGCUGGAGUGCAGUGGCACGAUCUCGGCUCACUGCAAGCUCCACCUCCCAGGUUCACGCCAUUCUCCUGCCUCAGCCUCUCGAGUAGCUGGGACUACAGGUGCCUGCCACCAUGCCCGGCUACUUUUUUUUAAUUUUUAUUUUCAUUUUUAGUAGAGACGGGGUUUCACCAUCUUAACCAGGAUGGUCUCGAUCUCCUGACCUCGUCAUCUGCCCGCCUCGGCCUCCCAAAGUGCUGGGAUUACAGGCCACCGCGCCCGGCCUCUGAGUUUCAAUUACUAAUCACAAUCUAGAUAUGUUCAAACAUGCUUCCCAGUAGGGAGAUCCACUGCCCUUCUGCUAGGGGACUAUAAGCUUACAUACGUAGCUAAGUUAUGCUUUUUCUUUUGUACUCACUCCUUCCUUUCAGACUCUCCAGCGUUUUUGCCAUACAGGCAAUUUUUGCUUGAAAUACAUCUUUACCAUUGGUCUUCUUCCCAGAAGUCGUUUUCCUCUGUAAUGAUUCCUCAAUGAUGCCAGGAGGUCAUAUUGUGUGCUGUUUGGUGACUGUCAUACCUGUCUUUGAAACUCUAAAAUGACUUCAUUUCAACCUUGACUUUCAAUGACAUUUCAUGCAUAUCAUGGUUUGGCAGCAUAACUGUAAGAAUGAACAGUUCCUUAAAAAAACCACCCAGGUAUUUAGGGUCCUGAAAGGCUCUUUCCUCUUAUCGCUCCAUCUUCCUUUUGGGUUGCUCACUUCUUCCUUCCAGAGCCUUUGAAUUCCUACUCAUUGAUUUCGAAUUUUUAGUGUAAAAUCUAAUAGUCGUUGUUUCUGGUUUAUGUUGUUAAAUUUCUAGAUUCUUCAUAAGGCUUGAUCCAUGCUAGAUUGUUUAUUAUUUUUCAUAAUUGCUUCUUACUGGACCAUGUCUUCAACACCAAUUAUGACAUUAAAAAAAUAUUUUUUCCCUAUUCAUCAAAAAGCAAAAAAAGUCAGCAUUGUACUUAUUUUAUUAGAGAUGGGGGUCUUGCUGUUACCCAGACUGGAGUGCAGUGUCACAAUCAUAGCUCACUGUAGCCUUGAAAUCCUAGGCUGAAGUGAUCCUCCUGCCUCAUCCUCUGAAGUAGCUAGGACUAUAGGCGAGUGUCACCACGCGUGGCUAAUUAAAAAAAUUUUUUUCUUAGAGAUGGGGUCAGGCUGGUCUCAAACUCCUGGCCUGAAGUAAUCUUCACACUUCAGCUGGGAUUGCAGGCACAAGUCACCAUGCCUGAGCCCCAACUACGACAUAUACUAUUCCCAGAAACCUAAAUUUCUUCACUUCAAGCUCUAAUCUAUUCUUCAAAGCCAUUUCAACACAUCUUUUCAAGCAAAUCAUUCCAAGUUUUACUAGAGUUUAAAGCGAAAGCAAACAUUUCUUAAUUCAAAGUGCACAUGUCAUAAUGCUUAAUUUAUUCAAGAGCAGAACUGUUUUCUGCCUCCUCCCCCAAUUCAUUUAGCACAGUGGUGGACAUUUUGUUGAUGGGUUAUCAAUACAUUUGGUUGAUGAAUCAGUUUCCCAUUAACAGUCUUGUCAUUUCCUGCACACUAUCACCUGAGUAACAUUAGAAAAGACCUCACCAAACACGCUUUAUGUUAUCAAACACCAACAAGCAAAGAUGUUUCCUCAUCCCUCUGAUUAUAGCUGCCACUUACUGCCUAAGCCAAAUGCUUUACAUUUAUUAUCUCUAAUCUUCCUUUUCCACAUGAAUGAACAACCAGGUUCAGAGAAGUAACUUGCCCAUACGUAGUAAGUGGUGGAACCAGGAUUUGACUUAGGCCUGGCUGGCUUCAAAAUCCACACUUUGUCCACAAAAGUUAGUUAUGCUGUCAAUUUAGCUGGGCUCUGAAAAAAACUGGAGUUUCAACUUUCACAUAUAUGGUAUGUAUACAAUAACGUCUACCCGCCACUUCAAUAUAUCCUUAAGAACUGAACGUUUUACUGUAGAAAAGGAGUAGUUUUUAAAGCCUUUUACUGUAAAAGAAAUCAGUACUUUACUAAAGACGUCCUCAGAAAGAAAACGAUUCUAAUAAUUAAUUUGAAAUGGCUUUUUAAACCCAAAUCAUCAUUUGAGAAUACGGUAGCUACCAGUUUUCUCAUACGUGAAACAUACUUAGGUAACUUUCAAAAUGUUUCAGGUGUCAGUUACUAGUAUAACCCUGGGGAGUAAACGGUAGCUAUAUUACAACUGUUGCAAAGUAGAGUUUCUUUUUUAAGCCAAGAGUUCUCUAACACCCAAGGUUUAGUGCCCUAAAAUGUCACCCCAGUCCUUUUAAUUUUAUAUCCAUGCCUUCCAAGCCCUACCUAACAUCUGGUUCCCAGUUUUCCCCGUUGAGUAUUUUCUCCAGGCCUGAUUCCUCAACAGUUUUCCCUAAAACCUGUAGCUCAUGCUGGCACUAUUUUUGCCGAAGUAGAUUAAGAAUACAAGUAAUAGAUCAUACUCUGGGGGAGGCAGUAAGUUAACAAUUUCGUCUCCGUCUGCGUUAACCAGACGCAGAUACUAGCCAGGGUGGCCACUAUUCUCCUAACAAAUUCUACAACGGCCAAGCAAUUUUUCGGUAAGUUGGAAAACGGAAACCACAGCGUGGAAACUCUGCACGGAGUCUUAAAGAUAAGAAGUUAAGACUUUAAUUUACUCUUGCAGAGGGAACGGUGAAGGCUUUCAGCACGGCAAGACGAUACUUUCGAAACUGUCACUAGACUACUCAAACUGGAGUCUCCCGCCCAAAAAAGCGUGGCACACGGCUAAAAAGGGCCUCCCUCCAAGGCUCCAGUCCUCGGGGAAGACGGCGCUGUGACCGUCUGAUCCAUGAGACCGGGCAAGAGGUGAAAGGGAGCAGGAAAUCCUGUUUAUUUCCAGUAGUCCUCAGAGCGGGAAAGGUUGGUGUCUACCCAGAAACGAAUAGGGCCCCAGUUCCGGGCCUAGGAAGGGAAAACCCAGGUCUCCCGGGCGCCCUGGAGCUGUGCCCCCCUGCCCGGAGCACCAGCCCCACUCGGGCUUUCCUUCUCCCCGUCCCACUCAGGGCCUCAGCACAGCUCCCAUUAUGCCUCCACCACCCCCACCCGCGCAGGCGCAGUGGGAACCGGGGCCUACCCGCGCCCCCGAGGCGCCGCCACUAUGGCGGAGCCUGGCCAGGCCGGUAGCCGCUCCGCGCGGACCAGGCGUCCCUCUCCCGUCCCCGCGGCCUCCCCACCACCUAUGGGGUCUGUCCCCGCCCGGCCGGACCCUCUUUCGCCCUCCUCACCCGUUCUUCAGAUCCACCUCCAGGAUCUUCCCGUAGCCCUUAAAGAAGCGCUCCACAUCGCGCUCCCGGGCCUGGUAGCUCAGGCGGCGGCGGGCAAAGCGAGA
rnacentral:lncRNA from 1 species